ensembl:snRNA U6 U6 spliceosomal RNA
GUGCUCACUUUGGCAGCAUAUACACUAGCACUGGAACGAUGCAGAGAAGACUAGCGUGAGCCUUGCUCAGGGAUGACGUGGAAAUUUAUGAAGUGUUCCAUAAAAAA